CUUGCUCAUAGGCCUACCAACAAUUCGACCUUGAUUCUUGAUCUGACUGAGUCAAAGCCACGCUGGACAAGCUGGGGCUCUUUAGCUUGUUUUCCAACUUUGACUUGUCUUGUGAAUUUUUCUCGACGAACAUCUUUGAAUCUGAAUCUACAGUCAUAGAUCUGAAGCAGAGCAGAAUCUUCUCAAAAUGAAAUAAAAGUUGAGAGCCAGUGCUAUUGAGACUUUAACUUCAAACAACUUCAGUGUAUCAGCAAAACAGCUGAUUUGAGGUUUUAAUGUCAAGACUGGCAAGACCGAUUCUAUCAUAAAAUGAGAACUGAAACAAAAGUGGAAAUACCUGAUCCAAACCUGACUGAAAUGACUGCAGACGUUUCUGUUGACUUAAUGGGCAAUGGUUCAGACUCAGUCUGUGAUAAAAGAGAAUGAGCCGUGCAGGACGAGGGUGUAAUUCCAUCAAGGAGUUCUGGUGACCUCAUAAACCAUGAGAGCUGGCAUUGACUUUAAUGGAGACCACGUGAUUAAAUUCCCAUGCAUCAUUUUGAAAACGUAGGGCUUCAUUUGAUAUUGCAGAAGGAUACCAGACCUACCAUGUCAAAUCGUUUCUCUUUCUUCUACAGGAGCCACUAGCUUUGUGUUACACUCACUCCUUUUUGGUAGCAAAUGAAAUAUGCCAUUCUGGAAAAUGAGUAUUUUCUCUGGCAAAAUGAACUUGAAAAGUACGUUUCAUAGAAAAGCACA
rnacentral:lncRNA from 1 species